AUUCUUUAAAAAUUAAGUAACUGUUUAUCUAUAAUUUGAAACAUAAAAUCUCAUAUUAGAUGAAAUUUUUGGACAAGUCUGAGGGCUCAUGUAUACAUGAAAAUCUAAACACAUUACACAUAAAGUAAUUCAGCUAAUUGGUGGUUUGUCCCACAUCGAUAACAGUAGAUGGAGAACAGGGAAACGAGCCCUAUAAUAUGAAAAGCAGAGGGUGAGGCAAAGCUAUCUUUGCGGUUGGUGCAAUGACGCAGCUAGCGAGGUUCUAAUCGAGGUGCGUCUAUUGCCUAUUUGAAAUCUAUUUCCAAACCCCCUCUUCGACUGGGUUCUGCCUAGGCCGUCGAGAAUCUUAGUCUAAAUCUUUCCUUGUUCCUUUGGUACUAAGUUUGCCUCUUGGAAAUUAAUUUCCUAACAAGAGAUCCGACAGAGGCAUAUAACUCUGACUGUGUAUUUGCUUUGGUUCUUGAAAUGAAGUGGCAAAUUACUCAUCCUCUUGGAAAUUAAUUUCGUAAGACGAGAUAUGUGGAUAUGGCAAAGGCAUUGCUGUUUUGAUUAGUGGAGAUCGAACAUAGGGAAGCUUGGCACGGUGUGGUUUGUGCUUUUGUAUUAAACUUCAUGGGAAGUGCAUAGUACAUUGAAGUCUGAUGAAGUUAUCACACAAUCCUAGGUGACUCCUAGAAAUAGCAGUAGUGGCUCGAGGAGUUAAUGCCCGGACGUUCUACAACAUAAGAAUCUUCAAGCAGUUCUAUGUGACCAAACUUGUCGAAAUUUAAGCUUCAAGUGAGGCUCUGAGCUGCUUCUACAGUACAUGGUUUCAGAUUGCCCAGAUCUCUAUGCAUAAAAAGCUCAUAUGCCAGGAUAAACAGGCCAAGAAGGGGUAUAGUUUUUCUACCCAAAUCCAAGUUGAGAUGACUGAUUGUGUCGGCAAGUUGAUUUGUGAGUGGAUUAAAUUUGCAAUUGGAGAGUUAUUCUCUUUUUGUUGUAAAGGGUUCAUUGCAUAGAUUAUGUUUAUGCACUAUUUUAUCAUUACCCGAUAUUGUCGAAAUUCUCAGGCUAGUACUCAACUUCCAUUUAAUCGCCAUAAAGGAAAGACCAAAAAGGUUUUGUCGAGGACAUCAAAUGAUCAUGGGAUUUAGUUAUAAAAAUCACAAACUGAAUUAGGGAAAAAUUUUCUUCUGAUGUCUUGAUCCAUGUGUACAAAGAUGUGUAUAUAUACAAGUAUUUCUUGCAAAAUAAGAAAAUAAUACUGUACACUUGUCUAAUUCCUAUUUGUCUAAAUACAUAGCUGUUAUAACUAAACUAUAUUCUUUGUACAGAAUUAUCUAGAAUAUGAACAGCUGUCCUUGUAUGCAUCUGACGGUCCAUAUUUAGUCCAUAUGUUAUAUUUGUGUGCUUCUGAUCUUGCCACA